rnacentral:rRNA from 1 species
AGGAUGAACGCUGGCGGCGUGCCUAACACAUGCAAGUCGAACGUCCUGUCUCGCAAGAGGCAGGGAGUGGCGGACGGGUGAGUACCACGUGGGUCAUCUACCGUGAGGUGAGGAAUACCGGCGAGAAAUCGCCGACAAGACCGCAUAGCCUCGGUGCAAGUCGAGGAAAGCUCUCUCGAGAGAGGGAGCGCCACACGAGGAGCCUGCGCCCGAUUAGCUAGCUGGUGGAGUAAUGGUUCACCAGGGCGACGAUCGGUAGCUGGUCUGAGAGGACGAUCAGCCACACUGGGAUUGAGAACGGCCCAGACUCCUACGGGGGCAGCAGUGAGGAAUUUUCGUCAAUGGGGGCAACCCUGAACGAGCAACGCCGCGUGCAGGAAGAAGGUUUUCGGAUCGUAAACUGCUUUUCUCGGGGAAGAGAACGGACGGUACCCGAGGAAUCAGCCCGGCUAACUACGUGCCAGCAGCCGCGGU